rnacentral:lncRNA from 1 species
GGAAGAAUACGGGUAUCCUUCUUUGACCAUCCAUGGUUUGUGAAUUUUCUCUUUAAACAACAAAGAAGUAGAUAUUAUGUCCUCAUCAAAACAAAAUGUUGAACUGAUGUAGAUGAUUGUAUCUGUUGCCUGCUUUACUGUAUGAUAGAUCAAUGCUUCUUAGAAUAUAUUGUCCUCGAUGAUGUGGCAUGAUUGAAAUAUUUACUUUGACGAUAAUCAUGCUACACAAGUUUGCAUAUAUAAUGAAAUAAGCGUG